rnacentral:rRNA from 1 species
GAUCCUGGCUCAGGAUGAACGCUAGCUACAGGCUUAACACAUGCAAGUCGAGGGGCAGCGGGAUUGAAGCUUGCUUCAAUUGCCGGCGACCGGCGCACGGGUGAGUAACGCGUAUCCAACCUUCCGUACACUCAGGGAGUAGCCUUUCGAGAGAAGAUAAUACCUGAUGGUAUGAUGAGAUUGCAUGAUAGCAUCAUUAAAGAUUUAUCGGUGUAAGAUGGGGAG